GCGGAAAGAAAUAUCAAUUAAGCAAGAUUAAAGUAUUGAAGAAUUUAACAAAAUACACAAUAUAAUCUCACUAGGACCCCGUGUCACGAAUUUGAGCCUCUAGAAUACAGAAUAUCAUCCUAAUACAUGGUAUAUCCAAAGUCUGAUAAUGCGGAAAUAAAGAGAUAGGAUAGGAGGGAGAAGAUCAAUGGCUUCGAACGCCGUGCAGCUACCUCGAUACUCCAAGAAGCUGGAUCUGCUGAUCAACUGGAUCUAUUGAGCCUGAGACUGCCUUGGAUCUGCACACAAGGUGCAGGGAGUAAAGUGAGUACUCCGACCCAGAGAGUAAUAAAAGUAACUACAGUCCGAAGAUAAGAAAAUCCAGUAAAUACACAAAGUAAGCUAAAAUCCAAAUAUACAGCAACAUAUGGAACUGAGCAGCUAAACAAUAGUAUAAAUAGAAAUCCAUGAAUGCAAUGCAAUGCAUAUGAUGGUACAUUCCAGUACCCACUGCGGCGUGCAGCCCGAGCCAUCCAUAUUUAUUUAUCGUCGACGGCGCUCACUAGGGGUGUGUACAGACUCUGGAGGGGCUCCUACAGCCAAGCGCAAUAUCUUGGUCAGUCAUUGUUACCUGACCGGUCAGCCAUUGUUACCUGACCAAUUUAUAUCAUACAGUGCCAUUGUUACCACUGUUCAAGUAUAUCAUCCAGUGUCAUUGUUACCAUUAUUUCAAGUAUAUCACACAGUGUCAUUGUUACCACUGUUUCAAGUAUAUCACACAGUGUCAUUGUUACCACUGUUUCAAGUAUAUCACACAGUGUCAUUGUUACCACUGUUUCAAGUCACUUUAUAAUCAGUCCAGAAAAUAAUAUAAUAAGCCCCUUGGGCAUUUACAAAACAGAAGUUUCCAGCCGGAAUACAUUUAAAAAUAUCAUUUAAGUUUUCAACACUUAGAAUUAUGGCUGAGUUUGCAAAACAGCAUUUAAAACCUUUGACUGAAAUUAUAUGAUAUGCAAAUCAUGCUAAGUAGUAAUAUCAAUCCUCGAAGGAUUUUACAAAUCUGCACAAGGCCCCAAACAUGGCAUCAAACCCAGUAAUAUCAAUGAAGUAUGUGUAUCAAUCACCAAUAUAGUAUAAACAUCACACGGGAUGGACCAAGUCACAAUCCCCAAUAGUAUCCGACCCCACACUCACCAUGUAGUGCGUGUCACGCCUCAAUAUAGUGUUACGAUGUGAAAGUCCGGGGUUUCAAACCCUCAGAACAACAUUUACAUCUGUUACUCACCUCUAACCGGCAGUAGACUAGUCCGCAAUACCCUUUCCUCUUGAAUCGACCUCUUCGCACGUCGAAUCUAGUCAAAACCACAACGAAUACGUCACAAUAGGCUAAGGGAAUACAACCCAAUCGAAAAGACUCGAAAAAUGUCGAAAAUCCCGAAAUUAGCAAAACCCGAGCCCCGGGCCCACUUCUCGAAAAAUUACGAAAGUCACAUCACCGGAUUCCUCGUCUCUCCACGAGUCCGUACAUAUAAAAUUUACCAAAAUCGGAGUUCGUUUGACCCCUCAAAUCACCAAAUCUUAUUUUCAAAUCCCUAGGCCUAAAUCCUCAAAUUUUCUACAAUUUUCAUGCUCAAAUCCAUACAUAAUUGAUGUACUUAACUCAAAAUAGGUGGGGAUAACUUACCUUCACAUUGAUGAUGAAAAUCCCCUCUUGAAGCUCCCCAAAAAUCGUCCAUACUUUGAAGAAAUGAAGAAAAGUGAGCUAAAUCCGUGUAUAAAAGAAUUUGUCUGUGCUUCGUCGAGUUGUACCUUGCACUUGUGCUAUACAAGUUGUACAUCCUAUUAAAAUUGUUCCUUGUCG
rnacentral:lncRNA from 1 species